rnacentral:lncRNA from 1 species
GCUGUAAUGACCUCCAACAGUUCCGCAGCCCCCUGCCUUGGGGAACCCCUGGCCAGGAGAAUACCCAUCCGCAGAAGGAAGAACUGGGCCUCGCUGAGAAACCUUGACUAAGGUGCUUCGGCAGUCAGGGUCGCCCCCACAGAUGACCAGGCGGCAUCCACUCGAGGCUGAGGAGGCCGUGUGUGGACACGGUAUGGACACCGCGAAGACUGGACUACAAGAUGCAGACGUGCAGUCUCCAGCAGGGAGGAGACUGCUUCACGACAGCCUGUCAGGGCGCUCCUGGGUUCCCUUCGCCAGGGAUGUCUCGAAUGUGCACUGUCAGAAAGGCCAUGAGCUGCCGGCACCCCUGUCCACCACAGGCUUGUGAGGAGGACUCUGCCCAGGAAGGACCCAGGACAGGGUUCUGCGUGCACUGAGCCUCUCAGGGUUGUUCCCCCAUCCUCUUUUUUUCUCCCUCUGUUCCCUCCUUCCCCUGACAUUUCUUCACAGCCUGUCCUUGACUCUCAGACAAGUCACCGGAUGCCAAGGGCACCUACUUCUGUCCUGGGGACGCUUGGGGCUAUUUGACAGUCAAGAGGAGCUGCUUAGACGGCCCCUAAACCGAGAAAAGUAUCCCAUGAUUGCACUUAUUCUAUUUGCCUUGUCCCCAACCCACCUGAACCCCA